rnacentral:sRNA from 1 species
UUCCCACCGUGAUGCUACUGGACCAAACCUCUGAAACCCCCUGCGGUGUUUCCGAGUGCACUUCGAUUUUUAUUUUCCUGCAGCUGUACAGUGUGAACGAGGUAAAAGUACUUCCCAGUUGAAUGCAUACGUCUCAUCCAUUCUCUACCCCUCGACGUUCCCAGAUGGCAGGUUCUUGCUGACACCAAAACAAGAAGGAAGAAAAGACAAGACAAAAGAGGAAGAGGAGUGAAGGGAAGAGCCAUAAAGCAGUGGUUCAUACAGGGAGAAGGGAGAGAGGAGGAGGAAGAUGGG